rnacentral:pre_miRNA from 1 species
GAAGUACUCCCUCCAUCCCAAAAUUCUUGUCUUAGAUUUGUCUAAAUACGGAUGUAUCAAGUCACAUUUUCGUAUUAUAUACAUCCGUAUCUAGACUAAUCUAAGAGAAUAAUUUUGGGACGGAGGGAGUAUAAA